rnacentral:rRNA from 1 species
GACGAACGCUGGCGGCGUGCCUAAUACAUGCAAGUAGAACGCAGUUACGAACGGGUGAGUAACGCGUAGGUAACUUCCUCAUAGUGGGGGGUAACUAUUGGAAACGAUUGCUCAUACCGCCUACUGUGAGAUGGACCUGCGUUGUAUUCGGUAGUUGGUAGGGUAAAGGCUAAACAAGGCGACGAUACAUUGCCGACCUGAGAGGGUGAUCGGCCAAAACUGGACCGAGAAAACGCCCAGAACUCUACGGGAAGGAGCAGGAGGGAAUCGUCGGCAAUGGACGGAAGGCUUACCGAGCAACGCCGCGUGAGUGAAGAAGGUUUUCGGAUCGUAAAGCUCUGUUGUUAGAGAAGCGGUAACUAACCAGAAAGGGACGGCUAACUACGUGCCAGCAGCCGCGGUAAUAC